rnacentral:rRNA from 1 species
CACGUAGGGGGCGAGCGUUGUCCGGAUUUAUUGGGCGUAAAGAGCUCGUAGGCGGCUCAGUAAGUUGGGUGUGAAACCUCCAGGCUCAACCUGGAGACGCCACCCGAUACUGCUGUGGCUAGAGUCCGGUAGGGGAGCGUGGAAUUCCUGGUGUAGCGGUGAAAUGCGCAGAUAUCAGGAGGAACACCAGCGGCGAAGGCAGCGCUCUGGGCCGAUACUGACGCUGAGGAGCGAAAGCGUGGGGAGCGAACAGG